CCAGCAGCUGCGGUAAUUCCAGCUCCAAUAGCAUAUAUUAAAGUUGUUGCAGUUAAAAAGCUCGUAGUUGGAUUUCUGGGAGGGCGCCAAUGUCAGCUGAUGCUUGUGCAGCGGUGCCCUUCCAUCCUUCUGUUAACGUUUCUGAUAUUCAUUUAUUGGUCUCGGGCUCAGAUAUUUUACCUUGAGAAAAUUAGAGUGUUUCAGGCAGGCUAGCGCCGGAAUACAUUAGCAUGGAAUAAUAGAAUAGGACUUUUGCCUCUUCUGUUGGUCAUGGGGUUCGAGUAAUGAUUAAUAGGGAUAGUUGGGGGCAUUAGUACUUCACUGUCAGAGGUGAAAUUCUCGGAUUUGUGAAAGACUAACUUAUGCGAAAGCAUUUGCCAAGGAUGUUUUCAUUAAUCAAGAACGAAAGU
rnacentral:rRNA from 1 species